rnacentral:rRNA from 1 species
AGACCCGAAACCCGGUGAUCUAGCCAUGGGCAGGUUGAAGGUUGGGUAACACUAACUGGAGGACCGAACCGACUAAUGUUGAAAAAUUAGCGGAUGACCUGUGGCUGGGGGUGAAAGGCCAAUCAAACCGGGAGAUAGCUGGUUCUCCCCGAAAGCUAUUUAGGUAGCGCCUCGUGAAUUCAUCUCCGGGGGUAGAGCACUGUUUCGGCUAGGGGGCCAUCCCGGCUUACCAACCCGAUGCAAACUGCGAAUACCGGAGAAUGUUAUCACGGGAGACACACGGCGGGUGCUAACGUCCGUCGUGAAGAGGGAAACAACCCAGACCGCCAGCUAAGGUCCCAAAGUCAUGGUUAAGUGGGAAACGAUGUGGGAAGGCCCAGACAGCCAGGAUGUUGGCUUAGAAGCAGCCAUCAUUUAAAGAAAGCGUAAUAGCUCACUGGUCGAGUCGGCCUGCGCGGAAGAUGUAACGGGGCUAAACCAUGCACCGAAGCUGCGGCAGCGACACUCAGGUGUUGUUGGGUAGGGGAGCGUUCUGUAAGCCUGCGAAGGUGGCCUGUGAGGGUUGCUGGAGGUAUCAGAAGUGCGAAUGCUGACAUAAGUAACGAUAAAGCGGGUGAAAAGCCCGCUCGCCGGAAGACCAAGGGUUCCUGUCCAACGUUAAUCGGGGCAGGGUGAGUCGACCCCUAAGGCGAGGCCGAAAGGCGUAGUCGAUGGGAAACGGGUUAAUAUUCCCGUACUUGGUGUUACUGCGAAGGGGGGACGGAGAAGGCUAUGUUGGCCGGGCGACGGUUGUCCCGGUUUAAGCGUGUAGGUGUGUGUUCCAGGUAAAUCCGGUUCACUUUAACACUGAGGCGUGACGACGAGGCACUACGGUGCUGAAGCAACAAAUGCCCUGCUUCCAGGAAAAGCCUCUAAGCAUCAGGUAACAUCAAAUCGUACCCCAAACCGACACAGGUGGUCAGGUAGAGAAUACCAAGGCGCUUGAGAGAACUCGGGUGAAGGAACUAGGCAAAAUGGUGCCGUAACUUCGGGAGAAGGCACGCUGA